rnacentral:lncRNA from 1 species
UCUCGGAAAACUAUUUCUGCGAAAUGAAGUGUCAAAUUGUAGCUUCCAUUUGCCAAGCAACGUGCAAAGUAAGUCAAAGAUAAAGGGGAGAGGUGAGCUGUCGUGUAAAGUUGAGCUUCGUCUCCUGUUAUAGGUGUAGCUUCCAUUUGCUAAGCAACGUGCAAAGUAAGUCAAAGAUAAAGGGGAGAGGUGAGCUGUCAUGUAAAGUUGAGAUUCGUCUCCCAUGAUAGCAGAUAUAUUAUGUGUUUUGUAGUCAUUCAAUGAUAUGACACGAUCCCAGAAGUGUCCUGUACUGCUAGAUCCCCAGUUCCCUUUCCAGUAAACAAAUUUUGCAGCACCUGCCGGGUCUUCAUCUGCUUCAAAAGUAGUGU